UUACGGCCACAUCACGUCGAAAUAUUGGUUUCCGUGCAAUCACUUAAUUUAAGUAACGUCAAGCCUGGUCAGUACUUAGAUGGGUGACCGCUUGGGAAUACCAGGUGCUGUAAG